rnacentral:rRNA from 1 species
AUUGCCGGCGACCGGCGCACGGGUGAGUAACGCGUAUCCAACCUUCCGUACACUCAGGGAUAGCCUUUCGAAAGAAAGAUUAAUACCUGAUGGUAUGAUGAGAUUGCAUGAUAGCAUCAUUAAAGAUUCAUCGGUGUACGAUGGGGAUGCGUUCCAUUAGGUAGUAGGCGGGGUAACGGCCCACCUAGCCUACGAUGGAUAGGGGUUCUGAGAGGAAGGUCCCCCACAUUGGAACUGAGACACGGUCCAAACUCCUACGGGAGGCAGCAGUGAGGAAUAUUGGUCAAUGGACGAGAGUCUGAACCAGCCAAGUAGCGUGAAGGAUGAAGGUCCUACGGAUUGUAAACUUCUUUUAUAAGGGAAUAAAACCUCCCACGUGUGGGAGCUUGUAUGUACCUUAUGAAUAAGCAUCGGCUAACUCCGUGCCAGCAGCCGCGGUAAUACGGAGGAUGCGAGCGUUAUCCGGAUUUAUUGGGUUUAAAGGGAGCGCAGACGGGUCGUUAAGUCAGCUGUGAAAGUUUGGGGCUCAACCUUAAAAUUGCAGUUGAUACUGGCGUCCUUGAGUGCGGUUGAGGUGUGCGGAAUUCGUGGUGUAGCGGUGAAAUGCUUAGAUAUCACGAAGAACUCCGAUUGCGAAGGCAGCACACUAAGCCGUAACUGACGUUCAUGCUCGAAAGUGUGGGUAUCAAACAGGAUUAGAUACCCUGGUAGUCCACACGGUAAACGAUGGAUACUCGCUGUUGGCGAUAUACUGUCAGCGGCUUAGCGAAAGCGUUAAGUAUCCCACCUGGGGAGUACGCCGGCAACGGUGAAACUCAAAGGAAUUGACGGGGGCC